rnacentral:lncRNA from 1 species
AUGGGUCUCUGCUGCUCCUGGGAGAGGGGGGAGGCUGAUUUACAUGCAGGGGAUAAGUGGGGGGGGGGGAGGGCUCCAGCCCAGCACCCUGCCCACGUGGCUGGAACCGAGCAGGCACUAGAUGUCUGGGGCCUCAGGAAGGAAAUGCGGGCCUGUGCGGUCUGUGCCUUUGAAACGGCCAGGGUUGCCUGGCACGCAAGCGACAACGGCGAACGGGGCGCAUGGAGUAUGGAGUUCUCUGGAAGCACCACGGGUGCUGCAGGCUGUGAGGUCCGCGUACCUGUUGCCUGUCCACAAAAAGACCUGGUGGUUGAGCCCCGCAGCUCUGGAAAGGCUAACGAGGAGCAAACGUCCCUGCUGCUGUGCUACUGGUGUCUCUGCCGGGCCUGGGGCUGUCGCCUUGUCACACAGGCAACUCUCCGCUGCUGCUCACACCUGAGCGCAGGCAGGAGUUUGGUGUGGGCCUGUAACCAGCCAGAGAAUCUUUUGGAAGAAGUAACAGAUGACUAUCUAGAAUUGCACAGGAAAACACCAACCGUUUCCUUCGUGCCUUCCCUCGCAUUCCUGAAGACUGUCAGAUAGUAUUCCGCUUCUGUGAGUUCCAUUUGAUUAUUGUACUGCUUUCUUUAAAUCUCACCAGGUAGGAAGGCUCCUUGCAAUAUUAUUCAGCAAUUCAUUCACCAAACAUCUCUGGGUAGCUGCUUGUGUGCUAGGGCCAGAUCUAUGUGAACAAAACAAAAAUCUCUGCCAUUAUGAAAUUUGUAAACUACAGGGGACAGACUAUAAUCAACAUAGAUUGAAACCAGGUGGAUGAGUCAGUUAGAAAAUGAUACAUAGGUCUAAAAAAUAGAAAACACAGAACAGGUUGAGGAGGUCUGGGAGAGUGGGGAGUGACCAAGACAAGCUUCACUGAGCUGGUGACAUUUAAGCAACCACCAGAAGGAGUUGAAGGAGAACCGAGCAGUUUCCAGGCAAAGGAAUAACCAGUGCAAAGGGCCUGAGGGGAGAGCCCGCACAGCUUGCUUGAGGAGCAGUGACAAGGCCGAUUUGGCUGGAACAAAAUGAGUAAGAGGUGAGUACAGGGAGAUAUAAAUCACAAAGACUGAGGUGGAUUAACUAGGAGUAGUUACCAGAUCUUGAGGGCCUUCUAGGCCAAGAGGACUCACUUUUUUAUUUUUCCUCUUAGUGAGCUGGGAUACUUCAGAGUAUAGAGGAAAGGAACAUUAUGAUCUGAUUUGUCCUUUGAAAGAAUCCUCCUGGUCAUAGUGCUGAAAAUAAAUAUGGUAGUGUGUAAUUUUAGAAACACAGAGACCAGCCAGAAGGGUAUUCUAACAAUCCAGGCAAUAUAUCAUAGUAUCUGGCUUAGUGUGGUGGAGGAGGAAGUAGUGAGCAGUGGUACGAUUCUGGAUAUAAUUGGAAGGUAGAACUAACAGGACUUCCCUUCAGAUGCGAUGUGGCAUGUUGGAUGGGCAGUAGGCAGGGGCCACUCCCAGCUGAUAUGCCAGUUAUGUUUCCUACAGGCAGCUUCUUGGGAACUAUGAUGCAGAGUUACUGAAACAUCUUUAGGUUGUUUUGUUAAAGUGCCCUUUAGAAAAUUUUACCAAUUGACCUUCCCACCAACUGUUUUAAUUUGGAUUUGUUUAAUCAGUACUGAGUUUGAUCUUUUUUCAUGUAUUUAUUGGAUAUUUGUUGUUUUUCUUUAUUGUAUACUCAGAUGUUUUCCCAUUGAUACAAAUGUUAACUAGGCAAUAUACUAUAUUCCCACAUAUCCUGGGCUGACCACUACCUAUUAUUUUCAGCCAUUUUAUGAUUAUUUCCAUGUGUUUAUUUUUUUCAGAUAAAAUAUGGAAUUGUUUUGUUCAGUGAUGUCAUCCUGUUGGGAAUUAUACAGAAAUUAUACAUAUUUAAUUUAUAGAUAAUUACGGAGAUUUGACAUCUUUCCUUUUAAUAAUUUAUUUUUCAGUAUUUGUUUUGUAAAUGAUCACCUCAUAAGCUUCCUUAUUCUUCCUAAUUUUUGUUCAUAUGUUAACCCUAGGUUUUCAAUAUGUAAAAGUGUGUCCAUAAAAAAUAACCAUACUUUUGCUUCCUUUUUUCCAUUGUUAAUAGCUCUUAUUUCAUUCUUUUUGUCUAAUUGCACUUGUCAGCAUGUUUAAAUUAAUGAUAAAAGAAAUUUGUGAAUCCUAAACUGAUUCUCAUUGUAAUUCAAAGGAUACUGUUUUUUUGUUUUUACCAUUAUGCUUGGUGUUUCUAAUUUAUAUAUAAAUACAUUUAACAGCAAUGUUUCAGAAAAAAUAAAGAAUUUAGAAAAUGGUUUCUUGACAUCAAUUAAAAUGGUCAUUUUUCUCUUUUGUCUAACUACCAUGGUUGAACAUCUUUGCAUUUUGGCACUUAGGGAUGAAUCCCAUUUGAUUAUUACUUUUAAAAUAUAAUUAAUAUCUUUCAGUUAAUGCUAUAAAGAAUAGUCACUUAGCAAAUCAGGGCAACAACAUAUGAUUUUGGCUUUGCUUCCAGUGGCUCCCAUUUGUUAAAUUAAUAAUGAAAACUAUCUACAAAUAAAACACUAUGUAAGGAAGUUCAUAAUAUCAUGGACAAAGUUUACUCUUACAUUUUGGAUAAUUUUGAAAACAUGAUUGGCAACAAAAUCUUAACACUUCAACUUUUGGGCAUGAACUAAAAAAUGAGAUGAAAUCCACUUGAGGCUUUAGAAAUAGUAGGGAAUAAUUACAAAGUUUCUGUUAGAAUGAUUAAAGCAAAAGCAUGUCACAUCCUUAACUCCCAUUGAAAAAGGCCAGCAACCAGGAGCUACUUGGCAUGCCUUCCUUUCCCAAAUAGAUAUGUGUAAGUGGAAAAUUCAACAUAUCAAAUGGUACGUUACUUGGCAUUAGUUGCUUUAUCUUUCAACCUCAAAAGAAGAAAGAAAACCUCUAGGGGACAUAUAUUUGUAGGGGCCAAAUCACAUUUACUUUCCCUCAUGUAUGAUAAUUAGAUCAAUGUCAAGGAUCUAGUUUUGAUUAAAGAAAAAAAAGACAAGGUCUGGGAAAAGGGAUGUAUAGUGGGGCACGGAGAUUUUUAGGUCAGCAUAAACACUCUGGAUGGUGAAUAUGUGUACUAUAGUGUUGUACAUUUUUGUCCAAACCUAUAGAGUGGAUGUGAGCAACAUGAAGACUGAGCCCUAAUGCCAUGCAGGGACUUCUGGUGAUGAUGGGUCCAUGUAAAACCUGCACCCCUUCGGUGGGGGAUGGUAAUAGUAGCGGAGGCUGUGCAUGUUGGGAGGUAGAAAGUAUAUGAGAAAUUCCUAUACAUUUGGCCCAGUUUUGCUGCAGUCCUAAAACUGUUUUAUUUUAUUUAAAUUCUAUUUGUCAACAUAUAGUGUAACACCCAGUGCUCAUCUCAUCAUGUGCCCUUUUUAAUGCCCAUCACCCAGUUACCCCAUCUGCCCACCCACUUCUUCUGCAACCCUUUGUUUCCCAGAGCUAGAGUCUCUCAUGGUUUGUCUUCCUCUCUAAUUUUUCCCCAUUCAGUUUCCCUUCUUUCCCUUAUGGUCCCUUUUACUAUUUCUUAUAUUCCACAUGAGUGAUACUAUAUAAUAAUUGUCUUUCUCCGAUUGAUUUAUUAUUUCACUCAGCAUAAUAUCUUCCAGUUCCAUCCAUGUUGAUGUAAAUGGUAGGUAUUUAUCCUUUCUGAUGGUUGAGUAAUACUCCAUUGUAUAUAUAAACCACAUUUUCUUUAUCCAUUCAUCUGUCACAGGACAUCUUGGCUCCUACCACAAUAUGGAUAUUGUAGACAUUGCUGCUUUGAACAUCGGGGUGCAGAUGUCCCAGCAUUUCACUACUUCUGUAUCUUUGGGGUAAGUACGCAGUAGUGCAAUUGUGUGGCCAUAGGGUAGCUCUAUUUUUAACUUUGUGAGGACCCUCCAUACUGUUUUCCAGAGUGGCUGCACCAGUUUGCAUUCCCACCAACAGUGCCAGAGGGUUCCCUUUUCUCCACUUCCUCAUCAACAUUUGU